rnacentral:rRNA from 1 species
GACCUACGGGGGGCAGCAGUGGGGAAUAUUGCACAAUGGGCGAAAGCCUGAUGCAGCAACGCCGCGUGAGUGAUGAAGGCCUUCGGGUUGUAAAGCUCUGUCUUUGGGGACGAUUAUGACGGUACCCAAGGAGGAAGCCACGGCUAACUACGUGCCAGCAGCCGCGGUAAUACGUAGGUGGCAAGCGUUGUCCGGCUUUACUGGGCGUAAAGGAUGCGUAGGCGGAUAUUUAAGUCAGAUGUGAAAUACCCGGGCUUAACUUGGGUGCUGCAUUUGAAACUGGAUAUCUAGAGUGCGGGAGAGGAAAGUGGAAUUCCUAGUGUAGCGGUGAAAUGCGUAGAGAUUAGGAAGAACACCAGUGGCGAAGGCGACUUUCUGGACCGUAACUGACGCUGAGGCAUGAAAGCGUGGGGAGCAAACAGGAUUAGAUACCCGGGUAGUC